rnacentral:misc_RNA from 1 species
AGGUGUCCGCUGCGAAAUGGGAUGCCCGGUGCCUAUGCCAUCCUCCCCCCCCACCCAUCCACGAUGGGUGGCCAGGCAUAGGCAGUCCCGGGUCGUCGGGCUUGGUGGUCGGUCCGGCGGUCUCCGACCGUCGAUCCGGUCGUCAUUCCGGCGAUCACGGGCUGGUGGGAUAGGAGGGCUGUGCUGGUCUUUUUCGAGGGGAGACGGACGGUUUAUCUCGGAUUUUGAUUUUUCCAACGUAUUUGAAGGUCAAGCGUUGCACGUCCUCGCUUGUGGAUGCGGAGAAUACCGCGGUCGGGUUAAGAUGUGGGUUUUAACCCCUCGGGGGGCACAACACUGUCCCUACUUUCUCAUUUGGCCGUCGAGGGAGAUUAUUCAUUAGGCUGAACCGAUCGAGAAUGCGGAGAACUAGCACGCAUCGGCUCGUGCUUACUUGAUGAUGCAUGGUGGGUUGGGUGUAAUGGACUAUCGUUGGAUUUCGGAAAAUAUGCCCCUGUCCCGUCGGAAGCUUUGUCCCUUGGUCUGGUGGGCUAGUAGUGCUGUGUUGAACUCUUUCCGAGGGGAGAGGGACGGUUCAUCUCGUAUUUCGAUCCUUCCAACGUGUUUGAAGGGCAAGCGACGCUCGACCUCGCUUGUGGGUCAAGAUGCGAGUUUUAACCUCUCGGAGGAGCACAACACUGUCUUUACUUUCUCAUUUGGCCCUCGAAAGAGAUUUUUCAAUAGUGGUUGGUUUUCAAAAAAAAAUUCAAAAUUCGUUCGUUUUCAAAAGUUUUUGACCCUGUCCCGUCGGAAGUUUUGUCCCUUGGUCUGGUGGGCUAGUAGUGCUGUGUUGAACUCUUUCCGAGGGGAGAGGGACGGUUCAUCUCGUAUUUCGAUCCUUCCAACGUGUUUGAAGGGCAAGCGACGCUCGACCUCGCUUGUGGAUGCGGAUAAUACUGCGGUCGGGUCAAGAUGCGAGUUUUAACCUCUCGGAGGAGCACAACACUGUCUUUACUUUCUCAUUUGGCCCUCGAAAGAGAUUUUUCAAUAGUGGUUGGUUUUCAAAAAAAAAUUCAAAAUUCGUUGGUUUUCAAAAUUUUUGACCCUGUCCCUUAAAGGUUAUUGUCCCUCGGAUUGUGUGUUUCUUCAUGUGAAGCGGUGCUGGUGUGGUCUUGCUUGAUGUUUCCGCAUGCUCGGCGGUUCUAGUAAUCGUCGGGUUGUGGUUCGUUCGGUUGGGUCAUCAUCAAGUGUACGCAACUCACGUGUGAGUGGUGGUCGGAUGGCAUGGGUCUGCAAGCUCCUUGCUCAGCGCAACGAAUUGUAAACUCUCCAUCCUUUUCAUAGUCUUCCCCAAGCAUGGUCAUUUGCCUUGUGGGUAAGAUCGGUAUCCUGUGUUUUUUACCAAUUGAAUGGAAUUCGAUUGUUUUCAUUUCUCUAUUCGCCCGGUUCCCUUAGGGGUGUUGGGCGGACGGUAGGCUGACUCCGUGUUCCAGGUACAUCUCGCAUUUUUGUGUGGUUACCGUGGCCCAUGGGGUUAUGGCUUGUUCUCUCGGAUGCGGAUCGUUAGUUGUGGGCGAGGGGUUACGACCUCCAUUCGUCCAAGCUAUUAUGGCAUUUGUCAAUCGGCACGGACGACUGCUGCACUCGUCUUGGCCUUUACAGUUGAAUGGCUGUACAGUGUCCAUGCGAGUGUCGGUGUCGUGAAGGAAUGC